AUCGCUUCUUGGCCUUUUGGCUAAGAUCAAAUGAAGUGUGUUCUUAUCAGUUCAAUAUCUAAUACAUCCUCUAUUCAAAGACUAUAUAUUAAAUCGAUUUUUUGGGGAGCUUCUUGACUAAAGGAGUGUUUUUUUUUUAUGCAGGGCAGGCCCUAGGAUGCACGGUGCCCUAGGCAAGCCCACCUGCU